rnacentral:rRNA from 1 species
CGGUUAAUCUAGUGCUUCACGNAUCGGGCUGCGGAGGAUACUGCGGAGCUAGGAGAGUGGAAAAGGUAGACGGUCCUUCGGGAGGAAGGGGUAAAAAUCCUUUGAUCCUUUGAUGACCCCCCUGGGGCGAAGGCGGUCGACCCAAAUGCGCUCCGACGGGGAAGGAAUGAAAGCGGGGGGAACCAAACCGAAUUAUAUACCCCGGGUAGCCCCACCUGUAACCUAUUGCAAACCUCCGGUGAUGCGUUGGCUUGUGGCCAAUCGCAGUGCCUGCAGAGAACCCGUUAAUCUUGGCCGCCGGGGAAGUACGGUACGCAAGAAUGAAACUUAAAGGAAUUGGCGGGGGAGCACCACAGGGGGUGAAGCCCUGCGGUUCAAUUGGAGUCAACGCCCGAAAUCUUACCCGGAGAGACAGCAGAAUGAAGGUCAAGCUGAAGACUUUACCAGACAAGCUGAGAGGAGGUGCAUGGCCGUCGCCAGCUCGUGCCGUGAGAUGUCCUGUUAAGUCAGGUAACGAGCGAGAUCCCUGCCUCUAGUUGCCACCAUUACUCUCAGGAGUAGUGGGGCUAAUUAGCGGGACCGCCGCCGUUGAUGCGGAGGAAGGAAGGGGCCACGGCAGGUCAGUAUGCCCCGAAACUCUGGGGCCACACGCGGGCUGCAAUGGUAAUGACAAUUGGUUCCGAUUCCGAAAGGAGGAGGCAAUCCUCAAACCUUACCUCAGUUAUGACUGAGGGCUGCAACUCGCCCUCAUGAAUAUGGAAUCCCUAGUAACUGCGUGUCAUUAUCGCGCGGUGAAUACGUCCCUGCUCCUUGCAC